UUAGACAUGUUGGAACUUGCAAAGAAUUGCGUGUAAAAGUGAUGUAAAUUUUAUUUAGUUUAACAGCUUUUUAAUGAUUUUUAUAUUAUUUGUGAUUGUUUAAAUUAGUUGAAUAGAAUAAUACUUGAAAGUAAAACUGGGCGAACUUGUUUUAUUGUUGUAAUAGUUGCUCAAAAUAUACUUUAGUGAAUAAUAGAGGUUAUGUUCAGUAUCCGGUAAAUACAUCCGGAUCAAAAUUUAAAAUUCUGAUCCAAGAAGUUGUUCUGAUCUAACAAUGAAAUUGUUAAAGAAAUUAAUAUUCAGCAAUUGCGAGUACACUAUUUACGGGAAUGCAAUUUUAAAACCGGUUUCAUCAGAAUGGAACGACUUGCGACGUUUAACAGGAUCUGUACACAAAGUUCUUACAAAGGACAAUGUUUUUGCUAAUUUUAAAUUCAUCGAAUAUCCAGGUUCUAAAUCGCCUUUUCUUGUUAGGGCGUAUGAAAUUGAAAAAGAACUUCUUAAGGGGAAUAUGAAAUCCUUUCAAGAAGUUAUCAAGGGAAACGUUGGUGAUGCAAUUGCAAUGGGUCAAAAGCCAAUUACAUUUCUGAGACAAGUUUUAGCACUUGCAAUUUUACCCGAACUUCUCAAAGAUCCACAAUAUCCAGAGGAUGCAAAAAAUCGUGUUAGGACAAUUUUAAAAAAUUGUAAUGGAAACAAUGUUGGUUCCUAUUCAGCAUCGCCUGGAAUUGAAAUUAUCAGAAGGCAUAUUGCGGAAUAUAUUCAAGAACGAGAUGGUUUUCCCAGCGAUUACAACAAUAUUAUCCUCUCAAAUGGAACUUCGGAUGGAAUUAAAUCAUUUUUAAAACUUUUUAAUGAACCAAUUAAUGAAAAACCAUCAGGAGUGAUGAUACCAAUUCCCCAAUAUCCAUUGUACUCGGCAAUAUUGUCGGAAUAUGGUUUAUCUCAAAUAGGUUAUUAUUUAAACGAGGAAAACAAAUGGUCUCUGGAUAUUAGCGAACUCGAGAGAUCUUACAGUGAAGCUGAGAAAAAUUCCAAUCCACGAGUAUUGGUUGUGAUAAAUCCUGGAAAUCCCACUGGUCAAGUUUUAUCUCAUGAGAAUAUUCAAGCUAUUGUUAAAUUUGCACACAAACGUCGUCUUUUCUUACUGGCUGAUGAAGUUUACCAGACAAACAUUUAUGGCGAAAAUUCAAAAUUCCAUUCCUUUAAAAAAGUCAUCAACGAAAUGGGUGAACCGUAUUCUCAAAUGGAACUUGCGUCUUUUAUGUCCAUCUCAAAAGGAUAUACGGGCGAAUGUGGUCUUCGUGGUGGAUACGCGGAAAUAGUGAAUAUGGAUUCUGACGUUAUGUCUUUGUUCUUAAAGUCCUUCUCGGCAGUUUUGUGUCCAAAUAUUCUGGGACAAAUAGCAAUGGAUGUGGUUGUGAAUCCUCCAAAACCUGAUGAACCUUCAUAUCCAAUUUUCAUAAAAGAGAAAAUGGAAACAUUAAAUUCGUUAGCCAAGAAAUCGUAUUUAAUGACUGAGACUUUAAACACAAUUCCUGGUUACAAGGUCAAUCGAGCAAUGGGAUCGAUUUUUGUUUUUCCAAGAAUCGAUUUUCCGCAGAAGGCCAUUGAGGCUGCAAAAAAAGUCAAUCAAUCGCCCGAUUUAUUUUACACAUUCAAAUUACUUGAGGCCACUGGAAUUUGUGUUUUAGCCGGUUCGUGGUUUGGACAAAAACCCGGAACCUAUCAUUUCAGAACAACAAUUCUACCACAAAAAGAAAGGGUAACAAAAAUGCUCACGUCCCUGAAGGAAUUUCAUUUAAAAUUUCUCGAAGAAUACAGCUGAUACGAGCGAAAGGAAAAAAAAAUUCAAAGGCCAAAAAUACUACUUCAAUAUUAUAAAUAACAAUUUAAACUGAAAAUGAAUUAAUUGAAUUUAACAUCUGUUAAUUGUGAAGGAUUUUAUUAAAUCGUUAAAAAUCAAAUUUAAAUAUUUAAAUCAGGAUUUCAUCGAUAAUUCAGAAACUUAACGUUACCGACUUUAAAUUGUUGGGUAUUUAGUUUAUCACAAGAAUCGCGAGGCUUGUGUUGAUCAUUCGUCUCGCGUCACAACAGAUUCGUAUUUAUCCAUUGACGGAAAAAUUAAUGAUUAACAGCACUGUACAGUGAACUAGAACUAGUUUUCAGUGACCUAAAAAUUUCGCAAAGUUCACGGAAGAUUCAAAAGUUUCUGCUGACACGGAUAAUCAAGAGGCUUAUAUAUAUUAUACAAUGGUAACUUUUUGAGAAAUCCAUCUACAAAUUACGAUCAGUAAAAUAGAUUUGUGAUGUAUGGACUAAUUUAAAAAAUUGUUAAACAUAAAGGACCCUGAAGAUAUUGUGCCUUUGCAGUUAGAAAUACACUGGAACUUUGAUUAUUGAGUCUCGACAAAAGUGAGAGGUACAGUUUGAAAAAGAGCCCUUUUUCUUCUACCAGCUAAAUAAUCGAUACGAGUCUGAAUAAUCUGGGUUUCAGUGUUAUUUCAAAUUUACAAAUAACAAAUUAAUAAUUGUUUUUUUGAAAAAGAGCGCGAUUAUUACUUUAAAUUCAAAAAAAAAAAAACACACACACAAGGACAGUAGUGCGCAGAACGGGUUCUCUAUACUCCAGAUUAUCAAAAGUCCCUGCGGGAGAGAAAAGAGAGCAGAGUUUUACACAUUGACAGCUGUUGAUAAGAAGCAUCGUUGGAAUUUUUAUUAUUUACACACUGUG